GCAAAUCGUUCGUCCGACGUGCGAAUAGGGGCGAAAGACCAAUCGAACCUCCUAGUAGCUGGUUUCCGCCGAAAAUUUCCCUCAGGAUAGCGGCCAUCGCGGAAACGUUUUGACCGGUAGAGCGAACGACUAGAGGUACCGGGGCCGUAACGGCCUCGACCUAUUCUCGAACUCCGAACGGGCAAGGAGCCGGGGUCGCCCGAUCGGACCCCGGACGUGAAGUCGACGAUGGUCGGUGGGCUGGUUUUGGUAAGCAGAACGGGCGAUUCGGGAUGAACCGGAAGCGGGGAGAAAAGGGCCCCGAGAUUGCGUCGACGCGGAUCCCGAAAAGGGCGUCGAUCCGUCGCGACAGCGGGACGGUGGUCAUGGGAAGUCGAAAUCCGCUAAGAAGCGUGUAAAAACGUACCCGCCCAACGGAUCGGCCCCGAAAAUUGAUGGCGCUCGAACGCAACCCUCGAACCCCGCCGACGGAGGCUAGGGGAGGCCCCGUCGAGUAGGCGGACGCGCGGGUCGCUUCGACGCU
rnacentral:rRNA from 1 species